GGAAGGUCCGGGCGUUAUCCGGAUUUAUUGGGUUUAAAGGGAGCGUAGGCCGGAGAUUAAGCGUGUUGUGAAAUGUAGGUGCUCAACAUCUGCACUGCAGCGCGAACUGGUUUCCUUGAGUACGCACAAAGUGGGCGGAAUUCGUGGUGUAGCGGUGAAAUGCUUAGAUAUCACGAAGAACUCCGAUUGCGAAGGCAGCUCACUGGAGCGCAACUGACGCUGAGGCACGAAAGCGUGGGGAUAGAACAGGAUUAGAUACCCUGGUAUUCCACGCCGUAAACGAUGAUGGCUAACCGCCGGCGACACACUGUCNGUGGCCAAGCGAAAGCGAUAAGCCAUCCACCUGGGGAGU
rnacentral:rRNA from 1 species